rnacentral:tRNA from 1 species
UUUCCUUUUAUUAGAA